UACGAAGGGGGCUAGCGUUGUUCGGAUUUACUGGGCGUAAAGCGCACGUAGGCGGAUUGGUCAGUUAGAGGUGAAAUCCCGAAGCUCAACUUCGGAACUGCCUUUAAUACUGCCAAUCUAGAGUCCGGAAGAGGUGAGUGGAACUCCUAGUGUAGAGGUGGAAUUCGUAGAUAUUCGCAAGAACACCAGUGGCGAAGGCGGCUCACUGGCCCGGUACUGACGCUGAGGUGCGAAAGCGUGGGGAGCAAACAGG
rnacentral:rRNA from 1 species